UGUACACUGUCGUCGAUAGUUUCGUGCCGGAAAACGUCAAAUUUAAUCAGCACCAGUCGGUCAAGUCGACGCUGUCUUUCAACAUGCGGAUGUGGAGUCAGGCGAAACUGGAUCCGAUAGUUGACACUGCGAAUUACACUUGCACUUCCACAGACAACGUGGUGGGCGAUGGUGUCUCUAGUACAACCUUUUUCACGGUUGAAUAUGCACCGACAAACACAGUAAUUGACCGCCCAACGAUCGAAGUGGAAGAAGGCUCAAUAGCCGGUCACUUGGAGUGCUCGGCGUCCUCCUAUCCGUUGGC